rnacentral:misc_RNA from 1 species
CGGAAACACGGUGCCGGAUAACGUCCGGCGAGGGCGACCUCAGGGAAAGUGCCACAGAAAGCAAACCGCCUGAUCCUUGGAUCGGGUAAGGGUGAAAGGGUGGGGUAAGAGCCCACCGCGUCUCUGGCGACAGCGACGGCACGGUAAACCCCACCGGGAGCAAAACCGAAUAGGGAUGACGCGGAGCGCGAAAGCGCUCCAGCCCGUUUCCGGGCCGGUCAUCCGGGUGGGUUGCAUGAGGCGGCGCGCAAGCGUCGUCCCAGAUGAAUGGCUGCCACGUUCCGGCCUCGGCCGGAG